UCGCUGGAGGACUAGCGGUUAGGCCUCUGUGCUCUCACCCCACUGGCUCAGGUUCGACUCCCAGCCAGGGAA